rnacentral:rRNA from 1 species
AAUAAGAUUUUAAUUGAAUGCUAAGAGAAUGGAUUUACGAAAAAUGACUUUUUUAAAUUCAAUAAUUGAAUUUAUUUUUAUUUGUGAGGAAACAAUAAUAAAUAUUAAGGACAAGAAGACCCUAAGAAUUUUAAAAGAAUUAAUAUUUGAAUCAAAAUUUAUAUCUUUUUAAUUGGGGCGAUUAAGAAAUAUUAAUAACUUUCUUUACUAUACCAAAAUGAACCGUUAAUAGCGGUAAUAUGAUAAAAAUACUCUAGGGAUAACAGCGUAAUAAUUUUUGAUAGUUCAUAUAGACAAAAUAGUUUGCGACCUCGAUGUUGGAUUAGGAUACUUUUUUAAUGAAGAAGU